CUACCCCGGCUGCUUGCCUCGGGAGUCUGCGACCUUGGCCUUACAACACAGAGUUCUCCUCGCCUCCAGCGAUGCCUGCUCACAAGAUCUUCGGAUACAUCAAAUGGAGUUGGGGGCACACAUGUAUUCUGGUGCUCACUCCUUGGGAGCUGAAGUAAACUCACACGAUGGAUCUCAAAGGUUGCAUGGGACCGCACAAGACCAAGCAGCACUUUUGAGGUUUUCACCGGAAAUGUGGCAGACCUGUCUCUAGACCAGACAGAACUUGAAUCACCUUUGAGUGAGUGCACCCACACUUCCUACCUAAGCUUGGUCCGUGGACAGCUCCGAGUGGUCUGUAGACCUGAGGACUUCCUACUCUUCUGUGUAGGUUGUCUAGAGAACCAACACAACAAACAGGCCUUCUAGUCUGGCAGGUAUGUCUGGUCAAGGUGUUAUCCAAGUCUCUUAUCAGGAAUUUGCCUCACUGGACUGACUCCUUAGUCCCGAGAAGGUAAUGAUAGCAGCAGAGUGGCUGAGGUCACACAGCCUUCAAUCUUAGGCUGUUUCUCUGAGAAUUGUUAUGCGGUCACCCACUUCCCUGGGAACACGAGCGUGUGUAUAAGGCUCUCAGCAGAUGGAGGGAGAGAUGGUUCAAGAGGCUGCGCUGUCUGGCUGAUGGCGAAGGUCUGGGCGGGAUGUGGCCCUGACGCUUGGGUUUCCUAUGAGCCCUGCACCUGCCUACACACUGGCAGGCUGGGAUGGGUAUGUUCACUGGCCUGCCUGAAUAUUGCUGGGUCCCUAGGAGGGUGACGGCUGUCGCUGUGCAUAGGGAGGUAGACACGAGCCUGUGGCACAGAGGGGUACUUUCUUUUUCUUGGAGCCUCAAGUCUGUUAGGGAAAACAGUCUGUUAUCAGCAAUGGGCAGAUACAGCCACCAUGGGGAGGAAGCCCUGACCCUCAGUGUGACCUGGCUGGUCCCUUCUCCCUUUGGGCUCCCCCCCCCACCUUUUUGCCAUCAAAUGGGGACUAAACAUACAUAUGGAAUACUAGAAGUUGGAAAGAAAGAACAAUUGCUGCACUUGGCAUUCUUGAAUAUCCUCACAGAGCCAGUGAUCAGCCAGGAAAACACUAACCCCCUUCCAGCUUCCUGUCUCUCAGAAUACCCAGCCUGCUGCUUCCAAUGUCCCCAGCCCACCGACACCAGCAUCUCCACUUCAUUAGUCCCCAAUGUCUCCAUCUCACUAAUGCUCAGCAUUCCCAGACCCUUGGGAGGAUCCCCACUCCACUGGCACCCAGCACCCCAGUCCAAUGAUACCCGACAUCCUCAGCCCAUUGGCAUCCAUCAUCCUCAUCCCACUGUUGUACAUGGUGUUUCCUCUCUUUUCCUCUUAUGGACUAACAUCAUUAUGGAUUCUUUUCCCGUCCCCUGGCAGGCCAGGGAAGGUGACCUCACCGGACUUACUGGAGGAGCUGAGAGAUCCAAAGGGGACCUGAGAACACGAGGGGAGAAAAUGUCAUCUACACAUCAAGGGGUUGAGCUUUUGAGUCGCUGUCUCCUGUGGGCACUGUGAUCUGGGGCUUUUUUUUCCUACAGCGUGAGAGGACACUCUUCUGGUGUUUCAGCCUUGCCUGGAACAUUUCUUAAGAUGGUCAAGGAAGAGACAAUGGUACCUGGAUGAUGGUCUGGCAGAAAUAAGAGCAGCACAGCUGUCUGGGGUCGGGGUUCGGGACUUUGCAGGGAGAAGGAGAAAGGGGGGAUGGGUAUUGGGCAGAUGGUUUGGAGAGCUGGACAAGGCAGUCUUGGAGGUAUUUACCUUACACACCCAGACAUGACACAUGUAGGUAGUCAGGGGUUAGAGAGGGACCAAAGCCCCACCCACUGAGCAAGAGAGACUAUAAAGACUGUGUCCCCAGUACUAGCUGGAUACAGACAUAAGCUCUGCUUGUCCCCAUUGCC